rnacentral:rRNA from 1 species
GACGAACGCUGGCGGCGUGCCUAAUACAUGCAAGUUGAGCGCUGAAGGUUGGUACUUGUACCAACUGGAUGAGCAGCGAACGGGUGAGUAACGCGUGGGGAAUCUGCCUUUGAGCGGGGGACAACAUUUGGAAACGAAUGCUAAUACCGCAUAAAAACUUUAAACACAAGUUUUAAGUUUGAAAGAUGCAAUUGCAUCACUCAAAGAUGAUCCCGCGUUGUAUUAGCUAGUUGGUGAGGUAAAGGCUCACCAAGGCGAUGAUACAUAGCCGACCUGAGAGGGUGAUCGGCCACAUUGGGACUGAGACACGGCCCAAACUCCUACGGGAGGCAGCAGUAGGGAAUCUUCGGCAAUGGACGAAAGUCUGACCGAGCAAACGCCCGCGUGAGUGAAAGAAAGGUUUUUCGGAUUCGUAAAAACUUCUGUU